AGUCAGAAUUUGUCCCUGGUGGGAAGACUUGAAGGAGAAGUUGAGUGUUUUAACUCAAAAGCUUUGUCAUGUUGAUGACAUGAGAAGACCCUGCAAGGCAGCCUUUUUGACUUGAAGGUAGCAUUUGUCAUACCCUGGGGAGCCUGUGUGGCAGUGGCGUCUGAGGAUACCACCAUGUGGUGCUUUGUCAACACCUCUUUUCAAACUGCGUCGGGGAGUGAUAUGCAAUACUGUGUGGAAUGAUCUGCAUUGUGACACAAGAACUGAUAGAGCCUCUUGGAUCAACCUCAUUUUCAUCACAAAGUUUUGAAAGAGUGUUGCCAUGGCAGUGUACCUUCUCUUUCAACACCACAUUCAAUUCGCUCAUUUAAACCCUCCUGUCAUGCCAUGCAAAGGAAGCUAAAGCCAUGCGGGACAGCUACAACAAGAGAUAUCCAGACCUUCAUCUUCAGUCCAGCCAUGAGGAGGCUUGUCCAAAUUUUAUUCAUGGCAGCAGCAAUAGGAAUCUAAUCUUGAUAAGCAAAGAAUGUAAUUAAAAUGGAUUACAGACUAUUAAAUACCAACAAGAACAAAAUGAUUGCAGUGUGUGCAAGCCAGUAAUUAAAGCUUUAAAAGAGGAAAAAGUCACCAUCGCUUCAAAUGUUUAUUUGUCAAGCAGAAAAUCCAGGCCCUCAGCCAUACUUUUAUUCAGUGUAGCACGGGACCAUAAAUAUUUUCUAAAGAAAAACCUGACCAUAUCUAGAGGACAACAGGAUUUAAUGAGGACUGAACCGAGUGCUACUUCAAAUUUAGCACCUUCUCCAAAGAGCCAUUCUGCUAGGACGCACCCAUCCCCUAAGCAAGCAGGGGAGCCAGUAUUGUGA
rnacentral:lncRNA from 1 species